UCCCUGGUGGUCCAGUGGCCAAGACUCUGAACUCCCAAAGCAGGGGACCCAGGUUCGAUCCCUGGUCAGAGAA
rnacentral:tRNA from 1 species